rnacentral:rRNA from 1 species
AUUGAACGCUGGCGGCAGGCCUAACACAUGCAAGUCGAACGAGUGGCGGACGGGUGAGUAAUGUCUGGGAAACUGCCUGAUGGAGGGGGAUAACUACUGGAAACGGUAGCUAAUACCGCAUACCAUCGGAUGUGCCCAGAUGGGAUUAGCUAGUAGGUGGGGUAAAGGCUCACCUAGGCGACGAUCCCUAGCUGGUCUGAGAGGAUGACCAGCAACACUGGGACUAAGACACGGUCCAGACUCCGACGUGAGGCAGCAGUGGGGAAUAUUGCGCAAUGGGCGGAAGCCAGAUGCAGCCAUGCCGCGUGUGUGAGAAAGGCCAUCGGAUUGUGAAGUACUUUCAGCGGGGAGGCGGUACCCGCAGAAGAAGCACCGGCUAACUCCGUGCCAGCAGCCGCGGUAAUUC